rnacentral:rRNA from 1 species
GUGAGGAAUAUUGGUCAAUGGGCGGGAGCCUGAACCAGCCAAGUCGCGUGAAGGAAGAAGGAUCUAUGGUUCGUAAACUUCUUUUGCAGGGGAAUAAAGUGCAGGACGUGUCCUGUUUUGUAUGUACCCUGAGAAUAAGGAUCGGCUAACUCCGUGCCAGCAGCCGCGGUAAUACGGAGGAUCCGAGCGUUAUCCGGAUUUAUUGGGUUUAAAGGGUGCGUAGGUGGUUUGAUAAGUCAGCGGUGAAAGUUUGCAGCUUAACUGUAAAAAUGCCGUUGAAACUGUCGGACUUUAGUGUAGAUGAGGUAGGCGGAAUGCGUGGUGUAGCGGUGAAAUGCAUAGAUAUCACGCAGAACUCCGAUUGCGAAGGCAGCUUACUAAGCUACAACUGACACUGAAGCACGAAAGCGUGGGGAUCAAACAGGAUUAGAAACCCUUGUAGUCC